GCUGGGUGUGGUUGUGUAUGCCUGUGAUCCCAGCUACUUGGGAGGCUGAGGUGGGAGGAUUGCUUGAGCCCAGGAAGUUGAGGCUGCAGUAAGCCAUGAUCAUGCCACUGCACUCUAGCCUGGGUGACAGAGCAAGAUCCUGUCUCAA
ensembl:misc_RNA Metazoa_SRP Metazoan signal recognition particle RNA